UCGGGUUGUAAAGCACUUUUGUCCGGAAAGAAAACUUCUGCCCUAAUACGGCGGGAGGAUGACGGUACCGGAAGAAUAAGCACCGGCUAACUACGUGCCAGCAGCGCGGUAAUCGUAGGGUGCGAGCGUUAAUCGGAAUUACUGAGCGUAAAGCGUGCGCAGGCGGUUCGUUAAGACAGAUGUGAAAUCCCCGGGCUUAACCUGGGAACUGCAUUUGUGACUGGCGAGCUAGAGUAUGGCAGAGGGGGGUAGAAUUCCACGUGUAGCAGUGAAAUGCGUAGAGAUGUGGAGGAAUACCGAUGGCGAAGGCAGCCCCCUGGGCCAAUACUGACGCUCAUGCACGAAAGCGUGGGGAGCAAACAGGAUUAGAUACCCUGGUAGUCCACGCCCUAAACGAUGUCAACUAGUUGUUGGGGAUUCAUUUCCUUAGUAACGUAGCUAACGCGUGAAGUUGACCGCCUGGGGAGUACGGUCGCAAGAUUAAAACUCAAAGGAAUUGACGGGGACCCGCACAAGCGGUGGAUGAAUGUGGAUUAAUUCGAUGCAACGCGAAAAACCUUACCUACCCUUGACAUGGUCGGAACCCUGCUG
rnacentral:rRNA from 1 species